CCACCUCGGCUUGCCACUGGUUCGGAGGUGGACGAUGCCUUGCGCGUUCCCCU
rnacentral:rRNA from 2 species